CAGGCCUAACACAUGCAAGUCGAGGGGUAACAGGAGAGCUUGCUCUUGCUGACGACCGGCGAACGGGUGCGUAACGCGUAUACAACCUACCUCUUACAGGAAGAUAGCCCGAAGAAAUUCGGAUUAAUAUUCCAUAACAUUUUUCUAUUGCAUGAUAGAAUUCUUAAAGCUCCGGCGGUAAGAGAUGGGUAUGCGUCCUAUUAGUUAGUUGGUAAGGUAACGGCUUACCAAGGCAGCGAUAGGUAGGGGGUCUGAGAGGACUAUCCCCCACACUGGUACUGAGACACGGACCAGACUCCUACGGGAGGCAGCAGUGAGGAAUAUUGGUCAAUGGAGGCAACUCUGAACCAGCCAUGCCGCGUGAAGGAAGAAUGCCCUAUGGGUUGUAAACUUCUUUUAUUUGGGAAGAAACCUUUCUACGUGUAGAAAGCUGACGGUACCAAACGAAUAAGGACCGGCUAACUCCGUGCCAGCAGCCGCGGUAAUACGGAGGGUCCAAGCGUUAUCCGGAAUCAUUGGGUUUAAAGGGUUCGCAGGCGGUUUAUUAAGUCAGUGGUGAAAUCUCGGGGCUCAACUCCGAAACUGCCAUUGAUACUGAUAAACUUGAGUAUAGUUGAAGUAGGCGGA
rnacentral:rRNA from 1 species